ACUGGAACCCUAGCUCAUUAAACGAAACACAUCCAGACAGCACUCUCGAUCUCCCUUCUCUCUUCUUCGUCUCCUCCGUGUAAAGAAGCCCUCCGACAACACCGUUCUUCCCUCUCUGGCUUCUCCUCUCUCCGCCGGUUACCAUUUCUCUAGAAAAUCGAAAACAUGGUACCAGAGAGGCCGUGAAAGCUAGAUAGUCAGAUCGCUCAUUUACAGAAAGAGAGAAAGAGAAAGCCACGAUGCUCCACGAUCGAGUCUUUUGUUGAAGCAUUCUAUUGGCGUUUGAUAGGUGCAAGCAUUUGAAAUUGAAUUAAAAGGGGUUUUCUUUUUCAUAGAUCGUUAGUCUUGAAGACUAGAGGGGGGCUUCAGUGAUUCCCAAAUCUGGAAACUUAUUCUCUUUUGAAUUCUGGUCGCUUAGGGUCAGUGCUGUGUUAAGUCGAAUCUUCAAUACUUGUUUGUUUUGAUACUUCAAGUUGGGUUGCCUUGACUGUAAUUUUAGUUAUUUGGGUCAAUGUUCAAUAGGAAUGCAGAGCCAAUUGAGUGCUUGAAGAAGGCACAGGCAUUAUGUCACCAGAGAAUAUCUGAAACUUGGAAGGCUGCUGAAAGGCAGAAGAUUGAUUAUAAGGGAUCCACAGAGUUGGGAAACAUUGGCAUUAAUCCAUGGGAUUCUUCCAUUUUGGAAGACCUGAUGAAGAAGAUAAAUCCUACAAUUAAAAAUUUUUUAUGUGAGAUAUUUAUAUGCUUUGUUAUAUACAUGUUUGAUUUACUGCAUCUAACAAGGAUUCAGGUGCUUUAUGCUUGUAUAAAAGCAUUUUAGGGGUAUCACUUGAGUACUAAAUCUUAUACAGGAAAAGUGGCCUUAUCUACUUUGAAGAAUGCAUCAAAGAACAAAGUUAUAGAGAUAGAACUUUAUUUCAGAAUCUUUCAGCAAAGUUAUACUCAGCACUGCGGUUGCUGCGAGCAACUAUUCUUGGUGAAUCUGGAGAUAAUGUCUUAGCUCACCACGUAUUCUGUAAUUCUCUGUUGCAGCUGAUGAGCAAGAAAGUACCAAGAACAAAGGAAAAACUCCUUGAACUCAAUGGCAUGAGCAAGGCCAAGGUAAGCAAUUAUGGUGAUCAAAUACUGGAAACCAUUGAAAAUACUAUUAAUGAGUAUUACAAGUUGGAUAAAAGCAGCAAUGGCAGUGCUAAUUCUGCAAAAAGGAGACGAGAUGCAAAUGGAGGUCUAGAUAGAAAUCUUGAGGAUGAUGAUGAGUUGACUAAAAAAAUCAAAAUGUGCAUACAAGAAUAAUUUUCUUACCUUUAGAAUAUAUAUAUGGAUAAAUUUUUUAAUAUCUAGUCCCUCUUGUGAGACUGUUGGUGUAGUUUUUAAUUCUUCAAAAUGCUGGCAGUUUGCUAUUUAUUUGAGCAACUAUUUAUUUCUAACGUUCAAUUUUCUUUUGCAUGUAAUAUUUAUUUACACGGACAUGAACAAUGAAAAUGUUGGAAUGAUCUGUAGCAAAUUUGUUGAGCAUCACUCCCAAUGUAAUAGAACUAACAAUAUUUCUUAGUUUGAUACUUUGUAUAAGAGUUAUUAUUUU